rnacentral:tRNA from 1 species
GGGGCGGUAGCUCAGCUGGUCAGAGCAGGGGACUCAUCAUCCCCGGGUCCCGGGUUCGAGCCCCGGCCGCCUCA